rnacentral:rRNA from 1 species
UACGGGGGGGGCAAGCGUUGUUCGGAAUUACUGGGCGUAAAGGGCUUGUAGGUGGCCAACUAAGUCAGACGUGAAAUCCCUCGGCUUAACCGGGGAACUGCGUCUGAUACUGGAUGGCUACAGUGUGGGAGAGGGAUGCGGAAUUCCAGGUGUAGCGGUGAAAUGCGUAGAUAUCUGGAGGAACACCGGUGGCGAAGGCGGCAUCCUGGACCACGACUGACACUGAAAAGCGAAAGCCAGGGGAGCAAACGGG